AACGAACGCUGGCGGCAUGCCUAACACAUGCAAGUCGAACGAAGCCUUCGGGCUUAGUGGCGCACGGGUGCGUAACACGUGGGAAUCUGCCCUUAGGUACGGAAUAACAGUUAGAAAUGACUGCUAAUACCGUAUGAUGACUCCGGUCCAAAGAUUUAUCGCCUAAGGAUGAGCCCGCGUCGGAUUAGCUAGUUGGUGAGGUAAAGGCUCACCAAGGCGACGAUCCGUAGCUGGUCUGAGAGGAUGAUCAGCCACACUGGGACUGAGACACGGCCCAGACUCCUACGGGAGGCAGCAGUGGGGAAUAUUGGACAAUGGGCGAAAGCCUGAUCCAGCAAUGCCGCGUGAGUGAAGAAGGCCUUAGGGUUGUAAAGCUCUUUUACCCGGGAUGAUAAUGACAGUACCGGGAGAAUAAGCUCCGGCUAACUCCGUGCCAGCAGCCGCGGUAACAC
rnacentral:rRNA from 1 species